GACGGAGGGUGCUAGCGUUGUUCGGAAUUACUGGGCGUAAAGGGCGCGUAGGCGGCCAUUUAAGUCGGUUGUGAAAGCCCGGGGCUCAACCCCGGAACGGCAGCCGAGACUGGGUGGCUCGAGACCGGGAGAGGAUGGUGGAAUACCCAGUGUAGAGGUGAAAUUCGUAGAGAUUGGGGGGAACACCGGUGGCGAAAGCGGCUCUCUGGCUCGGUUCUGACGAUGAGGCGCGAAAGCGUGGGGAGCAAACGGG
rnacentral:rRNA from 1 species